rnacentral:tRNA from 1 species
GCGCCCGUAGCUCAAUUGGAUAGAGCAUCUGAUUACGGAUCAGAAGGUUGGGGAUUCGAGUUCUCCCGGGCGUGCCA